CUUGAUGGAGCCGAGCCACAGCGGCUGGUCGGCGUCGCGGUCCUGGCCGUAGGUCGCGAGCAGCGCCUGGGCCUC
rfam:Streptomyces autolyticus strain CGMCC0516, complete genome.